AGCGAACGCUGGCGGCAGGCCUAACACAUGCAAGUCGAACGGAUCCUUCGGGAUAGUGGCGGACGGGUGAGUAACACGUGGGAACGUGCCCUUUGGUUCGGAACAACUCAGGGAAACUUGAGCUAAUACCGGAUGUGCCCUUCGGGGGAAAGAUUUAUCGCCAUUGGAGCGGCCCGCGUCUGAUUAGCUAGUUGGUGAGGUAACGGCCCACCAAGGCGACGAUCAGUAGCUGGUCUGAGAGGAUGAUCAGCCACACUGGGACUGAGACACGGCCCAGACUCCUACGGGAGGCAGCAGUGGGGAAUCUUGCGCAAUGGGCGAAAGCCUGACGCAGCCAUGCCGCGUGAAUGAUGAAGGUCUUAGGAUUGUAAAAUUCUUUCAGCGGGGACGAUAAUGACGGUACCCGCAGAAGAAGCUCCGGCUAACUUCGUG
rnacentral:rRNA from 1 species